UUAAAUUUCCUAAAUAAUAGAAACUUAAGAUUCCUAAUCAUAAUAUAAAAUUUGAAUGAAAGAUCUUAAUUUUACAAAAUAAAAAUUUUAUUGACUACAUCAUUCUCCCCUAAUUGGAGAAAGCUUGAUCUCGAGUUUUGUAAUGCUAAUGAAUCAAGAACUAAAUUCGAAGAACAAGCAACUCUAUCUUAUUGGCUGGUAGCAAUAAGAUUGAAACGAAAAACUCUAUUCUUUUCUUCCUAUCCUUGGAACAUCUUGUACUUGUAGUCCUCAAUUUCAUCUUGUAGUCAUUGAAUUUCAAUCCACAUAAAAUCAAAAAAUCAAAAUUUGGAUCAAUGAUUGACUGAUUGUGCUUCAAAUAUUUGUUUCUACCCACAAUGAAUGUCAAAAGUGGAAUCAAGACAUUGAAAUUAGCAGGAAAGGAUUUGGCCAAAAUUGUUGAUGUGGCAAGGUUGCUGACGUAGCAACAUCAGGUAAUGUGUCAAUAGUAUACUGUAGCAGGUGGCAUGGCAGCUAAAAUAGUAGAGAGCAAGGUUGCAGGAUCAAUUGAGGACAGGCACACAGUAGAAGGCGAGGGAUAAGUUCAGUUUAUGGACAACAGACUCGACUCGGCACAUGUGAGCAAGUGAAGGCUUGAACGAGCAAUCAAACAACAGCAAGACUCCAAUCAGCAGGCGACAAGCUUUUGAAGAGGUGUAAAAGUCGAUUGGUUGGGCUAGUAUAGAUUCUAAUCAAAACCUGACCCAAAUGGAAACUAGGUCUGUAGAGGCAUUUGGUGGUCAGAGUAACACCAAAAGAGUCACCCAACACGGGCUAUAGUUUAGUGGUGGUAAUGCAAUAUUUUUCGAUGUUCAGACGAUGGUUAAUGGUUGCUGGCAGUAACAUGGGCUUAGGCAGCAAGAGAGACAAGUAGCGAGGCAAAAAAAUUCAAGAAGAAAAGCCAAAAAAAACUUAGAUCGUAUUCUCUAGCUAUUUUUAUAGGUAUCGGACUAAAAAGUGCUCUAAUACCAAAUUGAUGUAGA
rnacentral:misc_RNA from 1 species